rnacentral:rRNA from 1 species
GAUGAACGCUGGCGGCGUGCCUAAUACAUGCAAGUCGAGCGAACGGACGAGAAGCUUGCUUCUCUGAUGUUAGCGGCGGACGGGUGAGUAACACGUGGAUAACCUACCUAUAAGACUGGGAUAACUUCGGGAAACCGUAGCUAAUACCGGAUAAUAUUUUGAACCGCAUGGUUCAAAAGUGAAAGACGGUCUUGCUGUCACUUAUAGAUGGAUCCGCGCUACAUUAGCUAGUUGGUAAGGUAACGGCUUACCAAGGCAACGAUGCAUAGCCGACCUGAGAGGGUGAUCGGCCACACUGGAACUGAGACACGGUCCAGACUCCUACGGGAGGCAGCAGUAGGGAAUCUUCCGCAAUGGGCGAAAGCCUGACGGAGCAACGCCGCGUGAGUGAUGGAGGUCUUCGGAUCGUAAAACUCUGUUAUUAGGGAAGAACAUAUGUGUAAGUAACUGUGCACAUCUUGACGGUACCUAAUCAGAAAGCCACGGCUAACUACGUG